UACGUAGGGUGCAAGCGUUAAUCGGAAUUACUGGGCGUAAAGCGUGCGCAGGCGGUUUUGUAAGUCUGACGUGAAAUCCCCGGGCUUAACCUGGGAAUUGCGUUGGAGACUGCAAGGCUGGAGUCUGGCAGAGGGGGGUAGAAUUCCACGUGUAGCAGUGAAAUGCGUAGAGAUGUGGAGGAACACCGAUGGCGAAGGCAGCCCCCCUGGGUCAAGACUGACGCUCAUGCACGAAAGCGUGGGGAGCAAACAGG
rnacentral:rRNA from 1 species